GUAGGGUGUGGCAGGGGCAGAUGUAACACGAGUAGAGUUAGAGGGAGUUUAGAACUGUAGAGGGAGUUUAGAACUGUAGAGGGAGUUUAGAACUGUAGAGGGAGUUUAGAACUGUAGAGGGAGUUUAGAACUGUAGAGGGAGUUUAGAACUGUCCAGGGAGUUUAGAACUGUACAGGGAGUUUAGAACUGUAGAGGGAGUUUAGAACUGUAGAGGGAGUUUAGAACUGUAGAGGGAGUUUAGAACUGUCCAGGGAGUUUAGAACUGUCCAGGGAGUUUAGAACUGUCGAGGGAGUUUAGAACUGUCCAGGGAGUUUAGAACUGUAGAGGGAGUUUAGAACUGUAGAGGGAGUUUAGAACUGUAGAGGGAGUUUAGAACUGUAGAGGGAGUUUAGAACUGUACAGGGAGUUUAGAACUGUCCAGGGAGUUUAGAACUGUAGAGGGAGUUUAGAACUGUAGAGGGAGUUUAGAACUGUAGAGGGAGUUUAGAACUGUAGAGGGAGUUUAGAACUGUAGAGGGAGUUUAGAACUGUACAGGGAGUUUAGAACUGUACAGGGAGUUUAGAACUGUACAGGGAGUUUAGAACUGUCGAGGGAGUUUAGAACUGUCGAGGUAGAGGGAGUUUAGAACUGUCGAGGUAGAGGGAGUUUAGAACUGUCGAGGUAGAGGGAGUUUAGAACUGUCGAGGUAGAGGGAGUUUAGAACUGUCGAGGGAGUUUAGAACUGUCGAGGGAGUUUAGAACUGUCGAGGGAGUUUAGAACUGUCGAGGGAGUUUAGAACUGUCGAGGGAGUUUAGAACUGUCGAGGGAGUUUAGAACUGUCGAGGGAGUUUAGAACUGUCGAGGGAGUUUAGAACUGUCCAGGGAGUUUAGAACUGUCGAGGUAGAGGGAGUUUAGAACUGUCGAGGUAGAGGGAGUUUAGAACUGUCGAGGGAGUUUAGAACUGUCGAGGUAGAGGGAGUUUAAAAUAAAUAAAUGUGCCGAAUACAACAGGUGUAGACCUUACCGUGAAAUGUUGACUUACAAGCCCUUAACCAACAAUGCAGUUCAUAAAUAGUCCGGGUAGCCAUUUGAUUCAUUGUUAGGUAGUCUUAUGGCUUGGAGGUAGAAGCUGUU
rnacentral:lncRNA from 1 species